UACAGAGGGGGCAAGCGUUGUUCGGAAUUACUGGGCGUAAAGGGCGCGUAGGCGGCCUGUUAAGUCGGACGUGAAAUCCCCUCGGCUCAACCGGGGAACUGCGUCCGAUACUGGCGGGCUUGAAUUCGGGAGAGGGAUGUGGAAUUCCAGGUGUAGCGGUGAAAUGCGUAGAUAUCUGGAGGAACACCGGUGGCGAAGGCGGCAUCCUGGACCGACAUUGACGCUGAGGCGCGAAA
rnacentral:rRNA from 1 species